UACGGAGGGUGCGAGCGUUGUCCGGAAUCACUGGGCGUAAAGGGCGCGUAGGCGGCAUGCCAAGCGUGUGGUGAAAGCCCGGGGCUCAACCCCGGGUCGGCCGUGCGAACUGGCGUGCUCGAGCACUGUAGGGGCGGGUGGAAUUCCGGGUGUAGCGGUGGAAUGCGUAGAGAUCCGGAAGAACACCGGUGGCGAAGGCGGCCCGCUGGGCAGGAAGGCUCGCAAGAGCCGGCUGACGCUGAGGCGCGACAGCGUGGGGAGCAAACAGG
rnacentral:rRNA from 1 species